rnacentral:rRNA from 1 species
UACGUAGGUGGCAAGCGUUGUCCGGAAUUAUUGGGCGUAAAGCGCGCGCAGGUGGUUCCUUAAGUCUGAUGUGAAAGCCCACGGCUCAACCGUGGAGGGUCAUUGGAAACUGGGAGACUUGAGUGCAGAAGAGGAGAGUGGAAUUCCAAGUGUAGCGGUGAAAUGCGUAGAGAUUUGGAGGAACACCAGUGGCGAAGGCGACUUUCUGGUCUGUAACUGACACUGAGGCGCGAAAGCGUGGGGAGCAAACAGG